ACAGGGAUCAGCUCAGUGCCAAAUCGGAAUCACUUGUGGUUCUGAAAUGUGGCUUGAAGGCAGUACCAGUGGCAUCGCGGACGAAAGUCUCUUGGAAAAGAGCGUCAUAGAGGGUGAGAAUCCCGUGAGUCGUUCGCCGUUUGUCACGUACGGUCUGCGUUCUAACGAGUCGCGUUCCUUGGGAUUGGAGCGUAAACGGGUGGUAAAUUUCAUCCAAAGCAAAAUAUAUACUCGAGACCGAUAGCACAAAAGUACCGUGAGGGAAAGGUGAAAAGAACUUUGAGAAGAGGGUUAAAUAGUGCCUGAAAUCGUUGAGAAGGAAGCGGAUGCCGCCGUUGCAUAUGCUGAUUGUAGGAUUGCUGCUCGCUCCUGUCUUCUGCUAUUCAUUCACAGACCUGGUCGUGUUGAGCAGUUGUUUGGCAGAUGUUAGUGGUGUUUCCUACUUUCAGUCGUCAGCAUCACUGGCUGAGUGGAAAUAAUCCUUGGAUGCUAAUUGGUUCGCUAUCUGUGAAUUGGUUGCUUCCUUGCGAUACUCACUACUCGGUCAGUGAGGAAGUGCGUUUGCUGGUCAACGAGCUUUCUAACUGUCAUUACCCUGCGCUUUUCGAUUCGUCGAGUGGCCAGGAUGUGGCUUUGAGAUUGUUCGCACUUAGUAAUCGCGAUGCUGGCUUCCAACGGUUGCCUCCGGCCCGUCUUGAAACACGGACCAAGGAGUCUAACGUAUGUGCGAGUGUGUGAGUGGCAAACUUAUACGCGUAAUGAAAGUGAGGCCGUAUGACCGUGUUGGGGUCACCAACAACCG
rnacentral:ncRNA from 1 species